GACCUACGGGGCGCAGCAGUGGGGAAUAUUGGGCAAUGGACGCAAGUCUGACCCAGCAACGCCGCGUGAAGGAAGAAGGCUUUCGGGUUGUAAACUUCUUUUAAGGGGGAAGAGCAGAAGACGGUACCCCUUGAAUAAGCCACGGCUAACUACGUGCCAGCAGCCGCGGUAAUACGGAGGAUGCGAGCGUUAUCCGGAUUUAUUGGGUUUAAAGGGUGCGCAGGCGGCGUGUCAAGUCAGCGGUAAAAUGUCGGGGCUCAACCCCGGCCGGCCGUUGAAACUGGCGUGCUCGAGUUGGCGAGAAG
rnacentral:rRNA from 1 species